GUGACGUGAAGGGCUUGGGAAAUGCAUUUGGUGCUUGUUUCCUUUUUUUCAGGCCCAAAACCUGGAGCUUCUGUCUCAGCUUCUGGGAGUAAGUUUCCCUCUGCUCUCCUGUAACAAGUAGGAGAAGAAAAACUGUUAUAAUUUGGAAGACGGGGUGACCCAUCAAAAGAAACUGGAUGAAGGUUUUCAACUCUUGUUCUAUUUGGAUUCUUCUAACACCCAAGGAGGUGGAGUCCUUGGCUUAUCUGGAGAGCGAGACUCCUACCCCUGAGAGAGAAACUGACACACAGCUGUAUCCCUUCAGAGCACAAGUAAGUGAAAACCUCACUGGACUAGACGACAAGGCUCUCCUCCCCAAUCUCCACCACUGCUGUGUGCUUAUGUAGUUAAUGGAAGGGGAAGCACAGCCAUCUCCAUGAGGAACUUAUUUCUCCUGGAGCUCCACCUCCUUCUAUCUCCUCGCUAGCUGAAGAAAUGAGGACUCACGAUGCAAAAGAAUCUGAAGAGGGAGCUGGGCUGGCACCUGGCUGUGCUGGUGCUGCCAGCCUUUCUUACCUGUGGAUGGAGGAGCAACAGAUCUUGCUUAAUGAAAAAAGAAGAGGUGUCCCAGCUGGGAGUCUCCUAGCCACCUUUUCAGGAAGCUAUCCCAUCCCCCACUUCUGCUGUCUCCCUACCCCUGCCAGUGGGAGAGGGGACAGAAACCUCCCACUCAUCCCUGCCCCUCCAAACCAAAUGAAACAUGCAUUUUGCAUAAAAUCUCUCUUUUGAAAUGUC